AAGCAUUACACACAAGGCAGCUAUGAUACACUGUGUUGUAAUUGGCCAAAAAUGCAGAUUGGUAACACCAGUCACCUAAGCCACCAUUGCCCUUGCAGACAAGAGUGUGAAGUAACAGCCCCUACAGUUUACAGCAAAGCCCUCGACUGUAGCCCUACAAACUUCAGAUACUGCCGAUGGCGUAGAUGCACUGAACUUUGCCAGUUUUUCAGCUAUGUUGAAUUGACAUCUCCAACUGAUUAUAAGAGCCAGGAUUGAUAUCAGACUGCUUGACAGCACGGACCUCUUUCUUGGGUGGAUGGAUUCAGAGAUGACCUACAGAUGCAGCCAUGACUGUGGCACAUGAAUGUUAUAGAUGAUGACUGUAAAGAAAUGAUGAUAGCAGAAAAAUGAAACUAUCUUAAUAUGGUUUUCUGGAA